CAAAUCAUCAUGCCCCUUAUGACCUGGGCUACACACGUGCUACAAUGGGUGGUACAACGAGCAGCGAGACCGCGAGGUCAAGCGAAUCUCUAAAAACCAUCCUCAGUUCGGAUUGCAGGCUGCAACUCGCCUGCAUGAAGCUGGAAUCGCUAGUAAUCGCGGAUCAGCACGCCGCGGUGAAUACGUUCCCGGGCCUUGUACACACCGCCCGUCACACCAUGAGAGUUUGUAACACCCAAAGCCGGUGGGACAACCGUAAGGAGUCAGCCGUCUAAGGUGGGACAAAUGAUUAGGGUGAAGUCGUAACAAGGUAACC
rnacentral:rRNA from 1 species